UGCGGUCUUUAAAUAAUUAAAUUUCUUUUUAAAAUAGCAUUUUAAAGAAACAUUUAUCAUUGAGCACUUGCUCUGUCUGUUCUGGGCUCACUGCGCACACCCUCUGUUGUGGGAGGAAACCAGUCAGACAGUGGGAACCCCAAACAUGAGCCUGGGCAGGCCCUUCAGUGCAUGCGGAAGCACUGAGCUUAUUCAUGCUGUUGGUGCUCACUUUUCACAGCUGUAAGUACUGCGGAUGGCAAUAGGUGGCUCAUUUCUUUAUUCUUGCAUUAACUGUCAUGUUGCGGACCUGAUCACUGAGUACACAGAGAUGAAGCAAGGUGCGUGAGGUUUCACAGGUGGAGAAGAAAAGGCCAGGUGUUCUCCACAGUGCUCCUCGUCACUUACCCUCAACUUCACGAACGAAUAAAGUAGGUGGCCUGAUUCCACAUUGACUCUGCUUUUCUCUUCCUACAGGGAAGCUGAAGAAGCCGAAAAUCACCUGGAGCCCCCUGUCCCCCAAGGACGGCAUCUGCAGGGCCAACCUGACCUGCUCAGUGGAGGAUGGUGGAGAUACUGUGACGUACACAUGGACCUUCCAGAAGGGAGUUGCUGUGUCUCCAGAGGGAUCAUACCACAUCGUUUCCUGGAGAAGUCAUGCAAAUCUUUACCUGCACAGCCAGAAACUCUGUCAGCAACAGCUCUUCCCAGUUUCCCAUCAGGAACACCUGUCCAGGCCCUGAAGUAAAUGUGAAUAUUUGGAUAUGGCCUUUCCUGGUUUCCUUCCUGUUCCUUGGGAUCAUCACUGACUGGUACUUUUGGAAGCACAAAAGACAGGGUGAGUUUCUUAGACCAAUGACAUUGUCCAACACCAAGCCCUUUCCCUGGGAAUCUUGGAGGCUCCUUUAUCCUCACAGAAUUCCUUGCCACCCUUCCUCUCCAAGACCCGGUUAUUCUAAGUGACACGGGGAUGGGUGUUUAUGGAGACCUUUCAUUACAUAUUACAACCAAUUCAAAUUAGCUUACCUGUUAAAAAGAGAGUGGGAGCAAGAUCUAUUUUAUAGCUGUUACAAUCAAUCAUGGGGAAGGCAAUGACAGAGCUGGCCUUUGUUGACAAAUGUCACCAGAGCCUCAGAAAUCACCAAAACUGUCCAUCUCUCACCAUUGUCAUUCUUUUGGAGCCAGCUUAACGCUAUUACAACACCUGAAGGACCAAGCUGUAACUGAGGGAGAGAAUGUACCACAACACAGGAACUAAUUCAGGGUCACACAUACUAAUUGCUCUGAUUCAGAAAACAGCAAAAAGAUGUUUCCUGACAACUCCAAUUUGGAAAAUGUCAGAAAUAUCUCUAAUUGGCCUGGGUUAAGGUCCUGUGACUAUAGCCAAGAAGAGAGCCAUCAUGAUUAGUAGCUCCCUCUGGAAUCUUAGUGUUGGAGUGGAAAUUGGAUAUUUCUAAAAAGAAAGAGAAGGCUAGAGCCUAUAGGCCCCUGGAGAGUUGCUUGGAGCAGAAAAACUACUCUGACUUAGUGGCUAUAACAGAAGAGUUAAAGCUCUCCCUUCCAAAGAGAUGGUAGGAAGGUCCAUAGCCUUCCUCUCAGCUGAAAAUAACUUUAGUUUCUGGUUACACCUUCCCGUGAUCAGGUGUGCCCAUCAGGGCCCACUCUCUUCCCUAAGUCUUUCCCAGUCUGAGUCUCCAGAAGCCUCCCUUUCACUCCUUUCUUUCUCACAGAAUCAGACAUGUGUCUCCUUCCAACCUCCUUGAUCACCUUCUCUAACUUGGUUUCUCAGGUUCAGCUGUAGUCUGCUGUUCCAGCCAAGAUGAGGCCCCAGAUGACACCCAGGGUAAUUUCACCAUUGUCACAGGAAGUAGUUCAGAUAGAACCUCCUACUCAAAAUAUAAUCUCCAAAUCUGGCUACUCAAAGUACGGUCUUCUAUCCAGCAACAUAGUGUUACCUAGGAGUGUCACCUAGGAGCUUGUUACCUAGGAGUGUCACCUAGGAGCUUGUUAGGAAUGCAGAAUCUUGGGCACUACUCCAGAGUACUAAGCUAAAAUCUACAUUUUAACAAGAUCCACAGGUGAUCUGUGUGCCCCUAAAACUUUGGGAAGCAAUGAGUUAGAGGAAGAUGGUUUAGGAACAAUAGUUUCAACCAUGAUAGAC
rnacentral:lncRNA from 1 species